AACGUCGCGAUCGCCUUACGGCUCAGUAACACGUAGCUAACCUACCCUUAAGUCAAGGAUACCCUCGGGAAACUGAGGCUAAACCUAGAUAGGAGAUAUUCCCUGGAAAGACUUAUCUCUCAAACUCGAGCUUAAGAAUGGGGCUGCGGCGGAUUAGGCAGUUGGCGGGGUAAUAGCCCACCAAACCUAUGAUCCGUAAGGGCUCUUAGCGGAGAGGCCCUGAGAGGGAAUCUGAGACACUAUUCCCAGCCCUAUGGGUGCAGCAGUUAGGAAUCUUUUGCAAUGCGCGCAAGCGUGACAAAGCGAGCCAGAGUGAUUUUCAAUUUGAAAAUCUUUUGCCAAAUGCAAAAAGUUUGGCGAAUAAGGACUGGGCAAGACUAGUGCCAGCCGCCGCGGUAAUCCUAGCGGUCCGAGUCGCAGCCAUCAUUAUUGGGUCUAAAAUAUCCGUAGCUUGCUGUAUAAGUUUCUUGUGAAAUCUGGCAUCUUAAGUGUCAGGCGCGCAAGAAAUACUAUUCAGCUAGAGACUGGAAGACGUAAGAAGUACGUUUGAAGUAGCGGUAAAAUGUGUUAAUCUCAGACGGACUAACAACAGCGAAGGCAUCUUACGAGGACAGUUCUGACAGUUAAGGAUGAAGGCUAGGGGCGCAAAGUGGAUUAGAUACCCAUGUAGUCCUAGCAGUAAACACUGCACACUAAACAUUAGUACCUCCCCGAGAGGUAUUGGUGCUGUAGGGAAGCCGAAGAGUGUGCUACCUGGAAGUAUAGCCGCAAGGCCGAAACUUAAAGGAAUUGGCGGGGGAGCACA
rnacentral:rRNA from 1 species